GAAAACAGUGCUUGAGCAGACGCCAUUAUUCACAGAGACAGUCUCGGUAAAAAUGUCAUUUUAAAGUCGGAUUUCGGGUUUGAGGAACCGUUCUUACACUUCCGUGGUAAAUUAUAUUUUGUUAAAUGUAACAAACUGUAACGUUAAUUUAGUUGCUGCCUUGUUUGCCAAAUGAAUGUCGGAGCCGUCGCAUUUGACAUUUUCAGUCACAUCUCACUCGACGUGGAGAAGCUGGCAGAGGAAUUGUCAAGAAAAGAAGAUACCAUUACGACUUUUUUUAUUCUUUAAAAGAGAUUAAACGACUAGGUGAAGAUCUGACAUCGCGGAAUUCUUCAAGGAUAACGCAACUUUUCUGCCAAACGAGGUCGUAAUUGCUGCUGUAUUGUGCAUCCCAAGCACCCCCUGCAUUCUUAUCAAGGAUUGCUGUCAUUCAAGAACUUAUCAUUUCCUCCCCCAUUGUGGCUGAGCUACACAUUCUCUUCAUUUUAUUUUAAACAUAAAACAUCCAGAGGAGAUGGCACCUACGUUGGAAUUCAUACAAAUUCUUCCUGUGAAGAAAUCCUGAACAAGGGUCGACAGUUCAGAUGAAGGGAACCUACGCUUCCAAGACUCAUGUAUGAACAACUUCAAGAAUCCAUGUACAAUUUGAGCUUUUUUUCAAAUCUCAACAUGGAACUUGGACUGAACAUGCAGCAAAAGGAAAAAAGUAGUAGUUUCCCCAAGCUGGCACAUGGCAAGAGAUACUAAAAGCACACAAACACUUGGAGCCCUGCUCUUAAUUUAGAUUGUAUAGUUCUCUUAGUUUCACAUUGAAAUGUUAGGCAUGAGUGCAUGAAUCUUUGUUCUUUAUUUUCUAAUGAUGUACAAGAGUUUUUUUUUUUUUUGUUUUUGCAGUACCAUGUCAGUUGUAGAUGACAGAAUUCAAAUUUUUUGAUGUGAACUGUCCUUUUAAAUAACAUUUCACUUGACUAUUGACUAGAAGUAUGUAGCAAUUGUUAUUAAUGACAGCCCUGUCUUUGUAUAAAUGUUUUCCCAUGUAUCUGAAAAUGUUUCACAGUGAAGUUUAUCUUUGUGACCACUAUUUGGUGCAACACCAAUAUUGUACAAGUAGCUGCUCAUGUUUUCUUUUUUCUGCCUGGUGCUGUUUAAAACUAAAACACAUUGUUAAAUUAAUUGAUGUAGUAAUAUUUUUGUCUUCACCUGUUAAAGGCAAAUAAAAGCUACUGA